rnacentral:lncRNA from 1 species
AGGCUUGAUCUUCUUAUCGAAUGCUUUCUUCACUCUCUGCUGAUAUAACUUGACCAUGACACAUGGCAGUUGAUCUUUUCGUUCUUUCCGUCGAAUUCAGCAUUAGUCAACUUGGGACUUUAAGGGUGCUAUUUUUCUUUUAUUUCUUUCUUUCUCUUUCUUUUGAUUUCUUUUGAUUUUGAUUGAUUUCUUUUUUUUUUUGAUUUUGCACCCUCCUCUUUCUUUUUUCUUUUUUUUCUUUUUUUUUUCUCUUUUUUUUUGAUAAUGCCCCAGUUGGCUGUUCUGCUGAUUCUCGAGAUGCAGCUGAGUGUGAUCUUCUUUUCUCGCUCAAGAAGUCGGGAAAUCUCGUCAGGAAUCCCUUCAACAUCAUCUUCGUCCGCUUCGAAUACAGGGAAUUCAAAAUUGGGAGAUGACGUCCGAUCAUUAUGUUCAAUGGGUUUGAGAAACAACCUGCAUAAAGAUUUUGAUAUGAA